rnacentral:sRNA from 1 species
GGUAGGUGUUUAAAGUCAACACAUUGUUCAAAACAUGGAUCUCGAUAUUUAAUGAAUGAUACCA